rnacentral:pre_miRNA from 1 species
CUUGUGGUCAGGGUCCCUCAGCCCAGAUUGUGAGAGGGUGCUGGCCAGGCCGAGGGACCCCACCAGUGCACG